rnacentral:lncRNA from 1 species
AGGUUGAUGCUGAUGGACGAACCAGAAGAUGGAUAAUUUGAACGAGUGCAAACAUAAAAGAUGAUCGUCAAGUGGACAUCGCCUAACAAACACUAACCUAGUGUUAUUCAGGCAAGCCCCGGUGCAUUUGCCACCUCCUUGAUGUUUUAAAAUCUUUAUCACCUUGUUUGAUGCAUUAGGUGAUAGGAGUUGUGUGCUAAAGCGUUGAUGCAUUUCCUUCCUUGAAAAUUGAUUACCCUUCCUUGAUAUCCUUUUUAAAAAAGAAUUUUAUGAUGCUUAGCCUUGCUUUAUCAAACAAAAAUGUUUUGUUUUAAAACAAAAGUGAUGCUUCAGUGGGUGGGAAUGUUUUCAAAAAUAAAACUUGAUGGUGGAUCCGUCAAAGGCCUUGAUGGGUUCAACAUCGGAAAAGAUGUACCUCUGCCAGGUACCAAACUUUGGGUUGAAAUUAAUAAAGCUGAGACCGGGCGGUUGACUUGCACGAGAAGGGAGUCUCGGUGUAGUGUCUUCGUCUGAGUCGAUUAAGGACCUUGUCGAUGUAGGCUUGCUGAUCGAGGACCUUUUAACUGGUCACAUGUCUCAUCAUGGGUAAGCUUUGCCUCGGGCAGACUAAUACCAGAAUAAGAUAACACGCAAUGGGAGUGGAGAGAUGGCGAGAGUAGCGUGUACCCUCCGUGGCAAGAGGCUGGACGGUGGUGUAUCUGUGCUCUCGGUUGGCGUGAACCUGAUCUGGUCUUAAGAACCCCGGUGGUGAGUUGACAUAUGCAAGGGUUAAGUGCUACAUAUGUCGUGUGAUCGGAGAUCCCCAGCUGGGUAUUAAUCGAUUCGGAUCGCUGUUACUUCUCGGACAUGAAGACUUGGUCACUGCCCUACACGUAGCAAUCCAGUGAACUGAAGGGAUGAUAAAAAGACGGCUAGUAUAGGCCAAGUGCUUGAACUAGGGUAGAAAGAAUUCUAGAUGCAAGUAACUUUACUUAACCCGACAAUUAAAAAUGGAUUUUAAGGAUCCACUCAUAGUAAGCUUUUCUGCAAAAUAGAGUCUUUGCUUCUUGAACAGCCAUACCUUGAAUCCCUCUAGCCAGCAUACCCUUGAGUGUCUUUUCUUUAGUCGGGUAAGUCUUGCUGUGUAAUUUCGUACUCAGGAUUUUAUUCCCUGUUGUUUUCAGGUUAUAGUUUUGUGGUGCUGUUGAUGGUGUUAAGCGCCGGUGGGCUCGGCCUUCUUGUAAGUCUAAGUAACUCUUCUAUACUUCUUAUUGAGGAUGGUCACUUGAGCUAGCAUAUAUUUCAAAACUACCAAUAAUCUAUAACAGUUCAAAGUAACUUCUUUGAAUCACUUUUGUAAUCA